rnacentral:misc_RNA from 1 species
UCCGGUUUGUCACCGGCAGUCUCACAUGAGUCCCCAACUUAAUGCUGUCCGAUGUUGUCUAGCCCAGGUAAGGUUCUUCGCGUUGCGUCGAAUUGAACCACAUGCUCCACCGCUUGUGCGGGCCCCCGUCAAUUCCUUUGAGUUUUAACCUUGCGGCCGUAGUCCCCAGGCGGGGCACUUAAUGCGUUAGCUGCGGCACUCAGGGGGUCAAUACCCCGAACACCUAGUGCCCAUCGUUUACAGCGUGGACUAC